GGCCUCGUAGCCAAGUGGUAAGGCAAGAGUCUGCAAAACUCUUACACGGGAGUUCGAUUCUCCCCGAGGCCUCAA
rnacentral:tRNA from 1 species